GUAUAUCAUAUAAAUUUAUUAUAAAAUGUUGUUUGAUUAUUAAGUCUUCUUGUUUUCUUGGUAUAAAAGAAAGAAUUGCUAAUGUAGCAAUUAACUUAAUACUUAACUGAUGUUUGCAAAGAUUUUCGUAUUUUUAAAGGAAUGUGCUGAAAAGAACGCUGUGCCUAAAAAAUGAAAAGAACCUUCAAGGAAAGAAGGAAAGUGAAAAUGAUUAAAAGUUCUGGUAUAAAUAUUAUGUGCAGUAUUUCAUCGUUAUGUUGACGAACAUUUCUGACUUUCUGUUUUAUAUUUUAGAUUAGGUCAUCUUUAUUUGACUUAAUUUGCAUAUUCUGAAAACACUAGAUGUGUGUAAAAUAAAGCUUUUUAAAAGGUUUUGUUUGAUCUUCUGUUUUUACAAGCCAUAUAAAUCUAAUGGGAAAAUGAGCUUCAUUUUGGAUAUAUUUCAAAUUCAAGUUUCCCGCAACACUACGUCAAAUCCGCUGGUGUUCAAGGAUCCACGGAAGAUUUCGACACAAAAAUACAGAUCCUUCAU